CUGAGAUGUUUCUGGUCCUUGCGAUGUGCAUUUGCAUUGUAUCACAAGGAAUGAGCUCCAGUGACUGCCGGGCCAGCCCAAAGGUGGAACCCAUCCCACAACGGAUUGGUAUGACUAGGCAAUAUCCUUGGGAUGCAAACUGCACACAUGUCCCUCUCACCUCACAAGUAGAAGCUGACUCAGUAUAUGCUGUUAAUCAUACCUUACACUUUAUGAGACUAAAAUACCCUCAGUGCCAGGGAGGGAACGUCCUGUGGGACUGAAAUGAUACAAUCAUACGCUGGUUGCCACACACACAUGGUCCAGAGGAUCCGUAUGGGGUGUGGCAUCUAGGCAUGUGGCAGCUUAAUCGGACUAAGAAGUGUGGAGUGAAUCAUGAUUUGUCCUAGGGAUAGUGAGGGACCCAGCAACAGGGUGGGGUCUUGUUUCCUUUGGGCAACUGAUUCACAGGCACCUCCAUCACACGGUCUGAUUGAAAUUGGGGAACCUCUGGGUUUAUUAGAAAACCUUAUCUAACACCGGGUUCAGGUUUAUGUCAAUUUAUUUAGUCUACCUUUUCUACUCUGUAUCAACUCUUUAUGGGUCAGGUUAAUGAUGCUAUUAAACGAUAUGUCCAACAAAGUAAGGUCACCCAGGACGGAAAAGCCGGAGGUAGACAGCGUCAUGAAAUCUUAUCUAAAGCUGCUGGAUGGUUAGGGGCAGCUAAUUCUGAAAUCAAUACAUUGAAUGAUGAGUUUCAACAUCAAUAUGAUGACAGCACACAUAUGUAUGCAGCUACAGAGUUAGCAGAAGCUGCUAUGGCUAUACACAGCAGUACUGAAGCUAUGCUAUGACCUUAGGAUCUAUUAGAGUGUUAUUAAUUGUGCUUAUGAAUGUUACUGUGCUUAUAAUGUUACUCAGCAUGAAGGAAGAUGUUACAGGAUGGGAAAUGUUAUGGUAAACCAAUUAGAACGGGAUAUUACUCAUUUACUGUCUGGACGACUAUCAGUGAAUCAUAGAGCUCAAUUACGAGCAAACGUUGAAGGUGGUUUAGGGAUAGAAUGGGCUGCUGAAAUAUGGGACGCUGUACUCACCCCUCCAUUCCGGCGCCCUCAUGACACAACGAACUUAACAUAUCAGCUGUUGAUUCCUUCUGGGGAACAACUGCAACCGCGGGCACUGAUAGCUGUCCGACAUUUAGCAAUGCAACAAGGUAAUCAUGUAUAUAUGCUAGCCACUGUAGGUUGGGUGGGUAAUAAUUAAUUAUAUUGUUGUAUGUUCUUGUGAUGGGAAACUUAACACUAUACUAAUUUGCAAUUGCGUGCUAUUGUUAGGCCUCUUAAAGGCUUUGAGCAGGUCAUGCAGCAGAACUGUUCUCACUGGUGUAUUACUUCUGAUCGCACUCACCUUUCCAUACGACACCAGUAUCUCAUAAUGCAAACAUGUUAUGCUUUACCGCGCUUAUUUGUGGACUGGUUGGGACAGCUAGAGACUCUUGAUCAUUCAGCCCACCUCCAAACGAUACAGAAGAUGAAAACUGCUCUGGACAAGGCUCAACACGAAACAAUGAUGGCUGAGGUACACGCUGAUAUGGUGCAAGCUGACGCCAAGGUUAUCAGACCAUGUGCCUCAUCUUCAGGAUGGGGUUUUGGACCAGGGGCAAGGGUCGAUUGCUUUGGCUGGUGGAACAUUUCCGGCUGAGUUGCCCCCUUGGGGUCCCUUGUCACGCUUGUUCUGGUGUUCCUUUUCUACUGUCGAAUGCGCCGCACCCUCCAUCAAUAUCAACGCACUCAAUGGACUGUCAGGCUGUGAAGAAUGCACUGCUCUAAAUUGAGUGAGUGGAGAAGACGCUCACUGUCAUGUGCUGGUAACCUCUGACAGGAGGCGCAAUUGGCCACAGGCCAAAAGUGGGAGGUGAAGGGUUGAAAUAAAUAUUAGUUAAAAAAGUAGUAUGAAAAUGCUUGAAUAUGUCUGUGUAGGCUGUGUUGAAAUAUGGAUAGGUAAGUCAGCCCUUUACAAGGACAUCGCACUUUGGCUGUGUGCCGAGAACAUCUUGUGUGUACUGAGAACAUCUUGUGAUAGUUUGUUUCCUUUUAAGAUGAAUAUACGUUCUGCUGCAUGCACACACUAUUUUGUCUUUUUUGUGCAUUACCAUAAAAGCUGUACUUUGUAAAUAUGUGUCAGAGAAGCAUUAACAGAUUGCCUGUGAACUGUUGUCUCUCCAGAAUUCUGCUUAAUAAAACUGCUGCUUCGUA